rnacentral:lncRNA from 1 species
UCCAGCGCCACCCUCCGAGCACCGCCUCACGACGCCGCCUUCCAGCUCGUCUCCGGCAACGCCUCUCGGCGCCGCUACUCCAACGCCGUCCUGCACCGCCUCUUCUCCUCCCAGAAUCGCCUCCGGCUCCAGCCUUCAGGUUUGGGUUCCGACAUCUGAAAUUGCUGUCAGCCAUCUUUCCUCCUUCGGUGCAACGACGAGGGAGGGAAGAAAAAGACGAGUCCUCCUGCGACCUCAUGAUUUCAUUCUCCACCUCAGGGAACAGAAGAGGGGUGAACAGCCCAGGAGUUGAUCAGUAUGGCCUGAAUCGCCCAGGGGCCCGCUUAUGGUGACCUGAAACCGGAAGGUGUGCCAGAACGAACUUUUGUGCGAUCCUUCGUCCAUACUGAUGCUUGAAUCCACCUGAAACCUUAUGGUGGUAUCCAGGGGAUUGAAUGUACGAUUCACUCUCAUUUUCGAACAUCGUAUACGAUGUCCAACAAAGAAUAUGCAUGGCAUAUCAUUCUCCAAGAACUCGGCACAUCAAGCUCUAGUACCACUUGAUGGGGAAAUUUUCUAAAUAGCAGGAUCUAGUGCUAAAUCCCGGAGAAAGAUUGACAAGAACAAGAUUGAAUGAAUAUACUAAGUCCAUAUUGAUCCAAAUUUGCACUUGGGGCUUAUGUCUCUUAGGACCGACACACCAGAGUUGUCAAAACCUUAUGAUUUUCCUUCUGGAGUGAUGGGAUGCUUCAGAAAUAACUUUGGCUCAUUGUGUGAUCCAAGGACCUGACCCCUAUUUAUAGCCCAGCCUUGAAGUCAAUUUCUAAUUUUGCCCAUCAUAAAAUUGGAAACGAUUUGGUCUCUACACAUGUGGUGCCCAUACUUACAUAAGAUGCCUUAAUUCCUUAUUAGGCCUUAAUGAAUCAUUUUAGCAAGGAUUAACUUAAUGAUAUCUUUAUAAUACAUAAUUUAUAUGUAUGUGCCCACAUUUGGAUUAAAAAUCCAAAACCUUCUCCCUGGUGCGGUGGGUCUGUCUGUGGUUGGCGUUCAUACCAUGCUCUUGUCAUUGGGAUCGUUUUUACUCUUGAGUUUGAUUUAUUUUGAAAUCUCAUUAGUAUGUGUUGCUCUUCGCUUUAGAAGCAUUUGGAUGUAUUCGAUUUUUCCCUCUCUCUUCUGUUCCUUUUGAUUCACGUAAAGAAGAUCUGCUCUCUGGAAGUACAGUGUUCAAGGGACAGUGAAAGACUGAUAAAGCAUGAUGAUAAAGUGCAGAGAAAUUAUGUCUUGGAAGACAUUUUAAAUGACUUACAGUGCCCUUGGCAUAUGCGUCUACAGCAGAGGGACUUUCAAUGCUUUCUUGGUUUUAGAACAUAUUUUCUUUCUCUUUACUUUCUGUUUGUAAAUUCUUGUGUUUCUCUCGUCCUAUCCUCAGCUAUGGCAUUAGUGCCUCCCAGUUUCAUCUCUUGCUCCCUCGAGAUUUUCUUAGUAAGAGAAAAAAAGUUGUUAGGGUCAUCAUCGGCACUUUUCCUUGGUCAUGGUGUCCAAUCCACGGUUUUCCUUGGGGUGGUACUUGGCACGAAAUUUUUUUUCUCUAUUUAUGUCUGAGUCCAUUUGGCAAAAAAAGCUUUUGAAAACUUUGAAUAAGUGAGAACUGUCCACGGAUGUUGAAUUUAAUCAUAUGAAAAUUACUAACUAAUGGUAGCUGUUAAGACUAUCAUAAAAGCCCAUAGGUCGAGAAAAAAUCCAUCGAAAGUCUCACUUUUAACUGUUGUUUGGGAAAACUCUAGGAGUUUUUUUACCCCUUUUUCAGCAUGAAUGUUCGACAGGAAUUUAGUACACUUUCUGAUCACGGAUUUCUCAAAUUCUACUUCAUUAAUGUUUUGUUUGAGAGUAACACUUAGUGCAAACUUACUGGGUAUUGCAUUUGCCUAUGCUGCCGGCUUCAAAAAAUCCUUAAAAUUCCAAACACUUUUCUUCCCUGUCAUCGUAUAAUUAUCUAUCCAUAAAAGUAUAAACAGAUGGACUGAAUUGAUUUGUAAAAGAAAACUUACUAACAAGGUAAACUGAGAAAAUCAUGAAAUGUAGAUAUAAAUGGGAAUGAGGAAUGAGAAGUCCAAAUAUUUCAGGAGGCAAAACAUAAUCCUUUAAAACUUUUUCUUUGUGAAGGAUAGAGGGCAUUGACAACAUAAUCUUUAGUUUCUAGUUAUAAAUCUGUGUACAUUGUAUCUCAGUGCUGACGUGUAUAAAAUGUGGUCAGGUUGUUAGACAAAG